UCUGACUGGGACCUGCUGCUGCCGCGGACACACAGUGCGGGGCCUGGACUUGAUUUUACUACGCGGAGAGGGAAUGUCAUGACCGAGCCUGGGGGAUAAAUGUUAGAUUCGUGCGUGCGUGAACAUUCUCGCGGUUUGAAGGGAAUAUGGAGCGGCUUCUGACGCGACGCGCGCUUGGAAAGGCGUGAAAAUAUCCGUGACGUUACGGCGGAAUGUCAAUGAAACUGAGGCGAUCUGGAUGAAAUAAAAAGAAAUCCGGAACAGCCAGAAUUAAACACAUCCUCACUCCUCCAUGUGUCCGCGUGAAUGCAAACGGGACGCCGCGUUAACGGAACUGUUGCUGCUCUGAGACCUGUGGCUGGUUCGGAACCGUGAUCUGGCUCGGUUCUGCGGUUCGGCUAGUGUGUGUAACUGCGGAGGAUGGGAGAUUUAAGAGAGUCCGUGCAGAAGAAGGUCUCGGGGACACGCGCUCACACUACAGCAUCUUCCAUGACGAACAAGCAAAACAACCCUAUUCUUCAGACAGAUGCUGAAUGUCUUGUGUGGAACUGCGUAUUGAGGUGUAGAUGGUGUCUUGAAAUCGCCUGGAGGCUCCAUUCGGCCUUCAGAAGCAGGCUUUCCUCUCAAGAAAUCUGCAGUAUUGCACUGUACUGAACACACUUGCAAUAAGCCAGUCAAGCCUCUCACAGCAAAAACAAUCAUCCGAUCAAAGGAUGUCCUUUGUAGGAUAAUACAGUUCAUUGAGACUGAGACUGAGUCUUUCCAGUCUUUGCUCAAAGUGAUGCAACAGACAGACUUCAGCAAGAACUUCAGACUUGUUUGAUCUUAAGUUUAGCAGUUCGCAACCUUUUUCACAUUUGCAGAUCUGAUAAAUCAUUAAUGGUGUGGAAUAUGUCGCGUGUGUAUAGUCCAGUCUCUGCAAUAUAAUGCGCAACGAACAUAAGGUAGUUAACUAAUGUUCUCCGAAAAUGUUUUCCAAAAAACAGCUCUCUGCAAGAACAACGGAGACAUUUUCCCCUCAACAUCCAGCAGUCUGUCACCAAAAAACAUCAAGAGAUUGCAUGUGGCCUAGAGAAAUAUAGCAGCUGUAUUGUUUAAAAUUGUAUUACAUUCUGUAAUACAUUAUUGAGCAGUGCGUAGAAAUUCAGGGCUCACGUAACUUUAAUCACAGCUUUUCCUUGAUGCUGAACCAUGCAAAAGUCCAUCUCUCUGAAUCAAAGACGAGUUUAAUAACAUAACUAAAUUCCUAAAUUCUAAAUCUAGUUGCUUGACUGAUACAGACCCUUUAAUGUGGGUCACUUUCGUCUGUUUUCAGUUCAGUAGGUUGAAUUUAACUGUCUGUUUCAGCACAUUGUUCAUCUCACAGCAUGAACCUAUUCAGACAAAUCUGUGUUUUAUUUUAAACUAAUUGACUCCGGGAGUUAAUCAUCACCUCACGUUGAUUAAAAUGGAUCCAGAUUAUUCAGGAUUCCCAUCAAUGCAUCUCCGGUCAGGCUUUUCAGUGAAUGUCUUGAAUUAUAAAGUGAGUCAUGUGUGAAUCAGUCCAUUGAUUGUCGUAUUCUUUGGUGUUAUCAUCAUGCAUGUGUGUGAGUGCGUACAUGAUCGAUAAAGCUUCUAAUAAUAGUUGCAAAAAUAUUCUUGUGCAUUCAGUAGAACAAGAGUCCACGCAUUUUUGCAUUCUGUCUGCACUAUUUUGUUAUUGUUUGUAAUUUUUUUGUUUACACAUGCGUCAGACGGACGUCACAGAUCAUUGUGUUGCAGCUGUUUUUUUUUUUAAUCAUCUCAAAUAGUAAGUGUCACAUUUUUAUGACAAUGUAUUGAGGUUUAAUUUGAGCUGUCUGUGUUUCCAUUUUCUCCCAGUUUAUGUGGCAUUAUGUCCAAAAAUAGACCCAGAAGCAAGUGUUAUGAAAUUAACUGGUUUAGAAUAAAAAUUAUGUGUAGUUUACUGUAAGUUAAUUU
ensembl:lncRNA